rnacentral:misc_RNA from 1 species
GCCGUUUUGGUGGGGGAGGAUGUGGCGGCUGCGCCGGCGGAAUUGUUGAGUGACUUGGCUCGGGGUGCUACAGGAGACAAUAAUGAUGACGGUGGUCGGGAAGUGGCUCCGAGCCAGCAUUGACUGACGGUAUGCCACCGAUUUUUUUUUUUAAUAAUUUCGUAUAUUUUGGCACUCACCCCAUUUUAAUUUUCCAAUUACGUGUAUAAUAUUCGAAUGAAAAUAUUGAAUUUU